UACGGGGGGGGCAAGCGUUGUUCGGAAUUACUGGGCGUAAAGGGCUCGUAGGUGGCCAACUAAGUCAGACGUGAAAUCCCUCGGCUUAACCGGGGAACUGCGUCUGAUACUGGAUGGCUUGAGUUUGGGAGGGGGAUGCGGAAUUCCAGGUGUAGCGGUGAAAUGCGUAGAUAUCUGGAGGAACACCGGUGGCGAAGGCGGCAUCCUGGACCAACACUGACGCUGAGGCACGAAAGCGUGGGGAGCAAACAGG
rnacentral:rRNA from 1 species